rnacentral:lncRNA from 1 species
CAGGCUCCCUGGGCCACUCUUGCUGGGAGGCUUGCUGGGGGCUUGCUGGGGGCUUGCUGGGAGGCUUGCUGGGGGUCUUGCUGGGGGUCUUGCUCGGGGGUCUUGCUGGGGUCUUGGGGGAGCUUGCUGGGGGGCUUGCUGGAGGCUUACUGGGGGUCUUGCUGGGGGCUUGCUGGGGGGUCUUGCUCGGGGGUCUUGCUGGGAUCUUGGGGGGGCUUGCUGGGGGGCUUGCUGGAGGCUUGCUGGGAGGCUUGCUGGGGGUCUUGCUGGGGGCUUGCUGGGGUUCUUGCUUGGGGGUCUUGCUGGGGUCUUGGGGGGGCUUGCUGGGGGCUUGCUGGAGGCUUGCUGGGUGCUUGCUGGGGUCUUGCUGGGGGGGCUUGCUGGGGGGGCUUGCUGGGGGCUUGCUGGAGGGGCUUGCUGGGGGCUUGCAGGGCACUUGCCAGCACUGGCCGGCCUCGGGCAAGUCGCCUCUCCCCUCUAGGCCCACACGACUCCAUCCAAGAAGUAUGCGCGUCCAGACCCCGAGGUCUUCAGAGCCCCUCAGAGCCUAAGCUUGUGCGGCGCCAUCCGGCCUGUGGGAGCUGUGUGUCCCGGGCCCCAAGGAGACAGAACCGAGCCGCGGGCUCCCAUCUGCACAGGCAGGAUGUCCUCUUCCUACCUCCAGGGCCAACGUGGGCGAGGGGCCGUGCCUCGGAAUGCGGGGUGUGGCAGAUCCGGACUCGGCAGGAGGCUGCGAUCUGGAGGCCGAGGCUCAGUGGCCUCUGCGCCGGGUGCAGCGGGUUCUGCACGUGGGGGGAGGUAGGAGGUGACCGAGGAACGGCCGUCGCACAGAUGGGGAAAGCCCAGGAAUGGCUGCGUGACCCCUCCUGGGUCCCAGCGUCAGUGGAGAAGCUGGACCAAAGGCCGAAGUAUCCAGGGGCGGAGGGCCGCGGCUCACCAGCUCAAGGCCUCCUUCCCCCAGGGGUGGGUGGCCUCUCGUCGCCUGGGUCCCCGGGAGGGGGCAAUGCGUGGGGGCUGAUGGGCUCACGGGGACCCGCCGCCCAGAGAGGAGCUGGGCCUCAGCCGGCGAGCAGAGUGAGGCCCGCAGGGGCUGCCAUGAUCCUAGUGCCGCCGGGCUUCCUGCCAGCAUGGUGA